UGUUCCUAAAUUAUUCUCUUCUCUUUUGUAGCUGUAACUUUUUUUCCAGUAUAGAUAAAAAUCAACAACUAUGUCUUGUAAACAAAGUUUAUGACACUCUGUUUUCAUAUGAUUCAUAAGACACUGUCCUCUUACAAGGCUAAAUUACAAAACUAUCUGCCCUUGUCAUGUUCCGGUAAACUCACUUGCUUCAUCACUAGAAAGACUAGCCCCCACUUCGACCAAAUAUAUAAAAGCUAGAAUUUUUCUUUGUUCAACACUCUUUCUUUGGACAGGAGUCUAUUGAGCUGGUGUACAACUUAAAAUAAAUACUCCUGAUUCCCAUUGGUCUCUCCUGUCUCUUAGAAUUCUACAACAUUUCUGGCAACCACAAAGGGACUGGGGACAACAGAGUUGCUGUCUCCUUUGCCUGCAGGCCUGAGAAGGGCCCAAGCUUCAGGAAUCCUGAGACCUCUAGUACCACCAGGUGAGACUUCAGCUCUGACAAAGAGGCAGUCCUCCCACAGUCUGGAACCCAUCCCUGCCAGCACAACAGAACCUAUUGGGAUUCAGGACAAUUCUAGAACAACAGCGCGCUAUAGGACCGAGGUUUGGAAAAAAACAAAACAAAACAAUAAACCAUGAGAAUUACAAGGUGGCUGAGUCCUGCGAAUCUUUCUAGCAUAUCACUGAUCCUAACCAGGAACUUUGCAUUGAGCUAACCAUUCUGCUAAACAUGAUUCAAUCAUGGAUACUGCCACAGAAAGGCCAGCUCAACACCAACCCACUACCUACAGCCUUGCAGCCUCCUAUAUGAAACUGCCGAUGGGCACUGCUGCACAGGGAACAGUUGUGAAUUCUGAUGGAGGAGAAACAUGCCAUGUCCCACCAGGUAAAGCUGCAUGAGCCAGAGUGAGCUCCACAGGGGAGACAGGAACCAGAACAACCCAGAAGAACCUCAGGCUACAGGACCCCAAGUUGCCUCCGUUAAGAUCUCUCCCACCAGAGUGUAGACUGGUGCAACCACUGUGGAAAUCAGUAUGGAGAUGCCUCAAAGAACUAAGACUGGAAGUCUCAUUUGACCCAGCUAUUCCCCUGCUGGGUAUCUUCCCCAAAGAACUAAAAGAAUCAUACCACAGUGAUAUAUGUGCACCCAUGUUUA